rnacentral:rRNA from 1 species
GACGAACGCUGGCGGCGUGCUUAACACAUGCAAGUCGAGCGGUAAGGCCCUUUCGGGGGUACACGAGCGGCGAACGGGUGAGUAACACGUGGGUGACCUGCCCUCAGCUCUGGGAUAAGCCUGGGAAACCGGGUCUAAUACCGGAUAUGACUCCAUGACGCAUGUUGUGGGGUGGAAAGCCUUGUGCGGCUGAGGAUGGGCCCGCGGCCUAUCAGCUUGUUGGUGGGGUGAUGGCCUACCAAGGCGACGACGGGUAGCCGGCCUGAGAGGGCGACCGGCCACACUGGGACUGAGACACGGCCCAGACUCCUACGGGAGGCAGCAGUGGGGAAUCUUGCGCAAUGGGCGAAAGCCUGACGCAGCGACGCCGCGUGGGUGAUGAAGGCC